rnacentral:rRNA from 1 species
AUUGCCUUAGUAACGGCGAGUGAAGCGGCAAAAGCUCAAAUUUGAAAUCUUGGCACCUUCGGUGUCCGAGUUGUAAUUUGAAGAAGGUAACUUUGGAGUUGGCUCUUGUCUAUGUUCCUUGGAACAGGACGUCACAGAGGGUGAGAAUCCCGUGCGAUGAGAUGCCCAAUUCUAUGUAAAGUGCUUUCGAAGAGUCGAGUUGUUUGGGAAUGCAGCUCUAAGUGGGUGGUAAAUUCCAUCUAAAGCUAAAUAUUGGCGAGAGACCGAUAGCGAACAAGUACAGUGAUGGAAAGAUGAAAAGAACUUUGAAAAGAGAGUGAAAAAGUACGUGAAAUUGUUGAAAGGGAAGGGCUUGAGAUCAGACUUGGUAUUUUGCGAUCCUUUCCUUCUUGGUUGGGUUCCUCGCAGCUUACUGGGCCAGCAUCGGUUUGGAUGGUAGGAUAAUGACUAAGGAAUGUGGCUCUACUUCGGUGGAGUGUUAUAGCCUUGGUUGAUACUGCCUGUCUAGACCGAGGACUGCGUCUUU